GAUGAACGCUGGCGGCGUGCCUAAUACAUGCAAGUCGAGCGAACAGACGAGGAGCUUGCUCCUCUGACGUUAGCGGCGGACGGGUGAGUAACACGUGGAUAACCUACCUAUAAGACUGGGAUAACUUCGGGAAACCGUAGCUAAUACCGGAUAAUAUAUUGAACCGCAUGGUUCAAUAGUGAAAGACGGUUUUGCUGUCACUUAUAGAUGGAUCCGCGCCGCAUUAGCUAGUUGGUAAGGUAACGGCUUACCAAGGCAACGAUGCGUAGCCGACCUGAGAGGGUGAUCGGCCACACUGGAACUGAGACACGUUCCAGACUCCUACGGGAGGCAGCAGUAGGGAAUCUUCCGCAAUGGGCGAAAGCCUGACGGAGCAACGCCGCGUGAGUGAUGAAGGUCUUCGGAUCGUAAAACUCUGUUAUUAGGGAAGAACAAAUGUGUAAGUAACUAUGCACGUCUUGACGGUACCUAAUCAGAAAGCCACGGCUAACUACGUG
rnacentral:rRNA from 1 species